rnacentral:rRNA from 1 species
UGCGGACAGUGUCUGGUGGGUAGUUUGACUGGGGCGGUCUCCUCCUAAAGAGUAACGGAGGAGCACGAAGGUUGGCUAAUCCUGGUCGGACAUCAGGAGGUUAGUGCAAUGGCAUAAGCCAGCUUGACUGCGAGCGUGACGGCGCGAGCAGGUGCGAAAGCAGGUCAUAGUGAUCCGGUGGUUCUGAAUGGAAGGGCCAUCGCUCAACGGAUAAAAGGUACUCCGGGGAUAACAGGCUGAUACCGCCCAAGAGUUCAUAUCGACGGCGGUGUUUGGCACCUCGAUGUCGGCUCAUCACAUCCUGGGGCUGAAGUAGGUCCCAAGGGUAUGGCUGUUCGCCAUUUAAAGUGGUACGCGAGCUGGGUUUAGAACGUCGUGAGACAGUUCGGUCCCUAUCUGCCGUGGGCGCUGGAGAACUGAGGGGGGCUGCUCCUAGUACGAGAGGACCGGAGUGGACGCAUCACUGGUGUUCGGGUUGUCAUGCCAAUGGCACUGCCCGGUAGCUAAAUGCGGAAGAGAUAAGUGCUGAAAGCAUCUAAGCACGAAACUUGCCCCGAGAUGAGUUCUCCCUGACUCCUUGAGAGUCCUGAAG